UACGUAGGGGGCAAGCGUUGUCCGGAAUCAUUGGGCGUAAAGCGCGUGUAGGCGGCCCGAUAAGUCCGCUGUGAAAGUCCAGGGCUCAACCCUGGAAUGCCGGUGGAUACUGUCGGGCUCGAGUCCGGAAGAGGCGAGUGGAAUUCCUGGUGUAGCGGUGAAAUGCGUAGAUAUUGGGAGGAACACCGGUGGCGAAGGCGGCCCCCUGGACCGGUACUGACGCUGAGGCGCGAAAGCGUGGGGAGCAAACAGG
rnacentral:rRNA from 1 species